GUCGGGAGUCUUGCACAAUGGGGGAAACCCUGAUGCAGCGACGUCGCGUGUGGGAUGAAGUAUUUCGGUAUGUAAACCACUUUUGCGGGGGGCGAAAAAAAUGACGGUACCCCGCGAAUAAGCCCCGGCUAACUACGUGCCAGCAGCCGCGGUAAUACGUAGGGGGCGAGCGUUGCUCGGAUUGACUGGGCGUAAAGCGCGCGUAGGCGGUCCAUUAAGUGUGCGGUGAAAUUCGGAGGCUCAACCUCCGUCCCGCCGCGCAAACUGAUGGUCUUGAGAUUGGGAGGGGGAUGCGGAAUUCCUGGUGUAGCGGUGAAAUGCAUUGAUAUCAGGAGGAACACCGGCGGCGAAAGCGGCAUCCUGGCUUAUAUCUGACGCUGAGGCGCGAAAGCGUGGGUAGCAAACGGGAUUAGAUACCCUGGUAGUCC
rnacentral:rRNA from 1 species